GUUUCCGUAGGUGAACCUGCGGAAGGAUCAUUAUCGAGUUUUUGACUGGGUUGUAGCUGGCCUUCCGAGGCAUGUGCACGCCCUGCUCAAUCCACUCUACACCUGUGCACUUACUGUGGGUGACGGAUCGCAAAGCGGGCUCUUGUCCGUUAUAAGCGCAUCUGUGGCCUGCGUUUACCACAAACUCUUUGAAAGUACUAGAAUGUAAUAUUGGGAUAUAAUAGAUCUAUAUACAACUUUCAGCAACGGAUCUCUUGGCUCUCGCAUCGAUGAAGAACGCAGCGAAAUGCGAUAAGUAAUGUGAAUUGCAGAAUUCAGUGAAUCAUCGAAUCUUUGAACGCACCUUGCGCUCCUUGGUAUUCCGAGGAGUAUGCCUGUUUGAGUGUCAUGAAAUCUUCAACUUGCAACCUCUUUGCGGAGUUUGUAGGCUUGGACUUGGAGGGCUUGUUGGCCUUUAAUGGUCGGCUCCUCUUAAAUGCAUUAGCUUGAUUCCUUGCGGAUCGGCUGUCGGUGUGAUAAAAUGUCUACGCCGUGACCGUGAAGCGUUUGGAUGAGCUUCCAACCGUCUUGCUUCAAAGACAAGUUUUUAUGACCUCUGACCUCAAAUCAGGUAGGACUACCCGCUGAACUUAAGCAUAUCAAUAAGCGGAGGAAAAGAAACNUAACAANGGNCAUUCCCCUAGUAACUGCGAGGAAAGGGGGGAAA
rnacentral:rRNA from 1 species